rnacentral:rRNA from 1 species
CCCUUAGAUGUUCUGGGCCGCACGCGCGCUACACUGAUGCAUUCAACGAGUCUAAAACCUGGUCUGAUAGGGCUGGGUAAUCUUUUGAAUGUGCAUCGUGAUUGGGAUAGAUGAUUGCAAUUCUUCAUCUUCAACGAGGAAUGCCUAGUAAACGCAAGUCAUCGGCUUGCAUUGAUUACGUCCCUGCCCUUUGUACACACCGCCCGUCGCUCCUACCGAUUGAAUGUUCCGAUGAAUACCAUGGACUGAGAGUAUGAAUGGGUUCGCCUAUUUCUGCUUCUCGGGAAGUGGAGUAAAUCUUAACAUUUAGAGGAAGGAGAAGUCGUAACA